rnacentral:rRNA from 1 species
AUUGAACGCUGGCGGCAGGCCUAACACAUGCAAGUCGAACGAGUGGCGGACGGGUGAGUAAUGUCUGGGAAACUGCCUGAUGGAGGGGGAUAACUACUGGAAACGGUAGCUAAUACCGCAUACCAUCGGAUGUGCCCAGAUGGGAUUAGCUAGUAGGUGGGGUAAAGGCUCACCUAGGCGACGAUCCCUAGCUGGUCUGAGAGGAUGACCAGGCACAUCGGAAAUGAGACACGGGCAAGACGCCUAGGGUGCGAAGAAGUGGUGAAUAUGUCACAAUGGGCGCAAGCCUGAUGCAGCCAUGCCGCGUGUAUGAAGAAGGCCUUCGGGUUGUAAAGUACUUUCAGCGGGGAGGCGUUACCCGCAGAAGAAGCACCGGCUAACUCCGUGCCAGCAGCCGCGGUAAUUC